rnacentral:rRNA from 1 species
AGCGAACGCUGGCGGCAGGCUUAACACAUGCAAGUCGAACGGGCGUAGCAAUACGUCAGUGGCAGACGGGUGAGUAACACGUGGGAACGUACCUUUUGGUUCGGAACAACACAGGGAAACUUGUGCUAAUACCGAAUAAGCCCUUACGGGGAAAGAUUUAUCGCCGAAAGAUCGGCCCGCGUCUGAUUAGCUAGUUGGUGAGGUAAUGGCUCACCAAGGCGACGAUCAGUAGCUGGUCUGAGAGGAUGAUCAGCCACACUGGGACUGAGACACGGCCCAGACUCCUACGGGAGGCAGCAGUGGGGAAUAUUGGACAAUGGGCGCAAGCCUGAUCCAGCCAUGCCGCGUGAGUGAUGAAGGCCCUAGGGUUGUAAAGCUCUUUUGUGCGGGAAGAUAAUGACGGUACCGCAAGAAUAAGCCCCGGCUAACUCGUG